AAUCAAUUGAAAUACUUAGUGGCGGACGGGUGAGUAACGCGUGAGUAACCUGCCCUUUAGUGGGGAAUAACACCGAGAAAUCGGUGCUAAUACCGCAUAAUGUCAGAGGACCGCAUGAUCUUCUGACCAAAGGAUUUAUUCACUAAAGGAUGGACUCGCGUCCGAUUAGCUAGUUGGUGAGGUAACGGCCCACCAAGGCAACGAUCGGUAGCCGAACUGAGAGGUUGAUCGGCCACAUUGGGACUGAGACACGGCCCAGACUCCUACGGGAGGCAGCAGUGGGGAAUAUUGGGCAAUGGGCGCAAGCCUGACCCAGCAACGCCGCGUGAAGGAUGAAGGUCCUCGGAUUGUAAACUUCUUUGAUCAGGGACGAAUUUUGACGGUACCUGAAGAACAAGUCACGGCUAACUACGUGCCAGCAGCCGCGGUAAUACGUAGGUGACAAGCGUUAUCCGGAUUUACUGGGUGUAAAGGGCGUGUAGGCGGUUUGGCAAGUCAGAAGUGAAAUUCCCGGGCUUAACUUGGGCGCUGCUUCUGAAACUGCUUAACUUGAGUGCUGGAGAGGAUAGUGGAAUUCCUAGUGUAGCGGUAAAAUGCGCAGAUAUUAGGAGGAACACCGGUGGCGAA
rnacentral:rRNA from 1 species